rnacentral:rRNA from 1 species
GACGAACGCUGGCGGCGUGCUUAACACAUGCAAGUCGAACGGAAAGGCCCUGCUUUUGUGGGGUGCUCGAGUGGCGAACGGGUGAGUAACACGUGAGUAACCUGCCCUUGACUUUGGGAUAACUUCAGGAAACUGGGGCUAAUACCGGAUAGGAUCUCCUGCUGCAUGGUGGGGGUUGGAAAGUUUCGGCGGUUGGGGAUGGACUCGCGGCUUAUCAGCUUGUUGGUGGGGUAGUGGCUUACCAAGGCUUUGACGGGUAGCCGGCCUGAGAGGGGGACCGGCGACAUUGGGACUGAGAUACGGCCCAGACUGCUACGGGAGGCAGCAGUGGGGAAUAUUGCACAAUGGGCGGAAGCGUGAUGCAGAAACGCCGCGUGCGGGAUGACGGCCUUCGGGUUGUAAACCGCUUUCGCCUGUGACGAAGAGUGAGUGACGGUAAUGGGUAAAGAAGCACCGGCUAACUACGUG